rnacentral:misc_RNA from 1 species
AAGUUGUUUCUGAACAUUCUUCACUCUCUUCUUAGGUUUUCUUGUAGCCUUUGAUCCAGUCAUAGCAUAUAUAUCUUCAUCAAUCUCUUCUCUGGAGAGGGCUAUCGAAAACCUAGGCCUCUUUUCCUUCUUCGGAGGGUUGGAUUCACUAUUUUGUGGCUUGUUCACAUUCAUGUGAGGCGAUUGAAAUUUGUUCUCCUGUAUAGCCGAUCCACUGGCUCGAAAUGGACCUCCAUUCAGAUUUGAUGACUUUUGUACAGCCUUUCUGGGUCUCAGAUUCCACGUUUUUAGUGCUGUAUCUUCAGCAGCCUCCUCUUCUGCAGUAACCUCUUGAGAUUCAUCACCCCUAUGCUCUUCAUGAUUUUUCCGAGGGAUUUUGAGCAAGAUUUUCGAUCUACCUUCUUUACUCCCAGCCGCAUCCACCUCUAAAACUUUAUGGUUCUUAUCUGAUUUCUCACAGAUCCCUUUCUUCGUACUCUCAGGUGCUGAAAUUCGUGAAUGUCUACGAUACUUAACAACACUUGUGUCCUUGUCCGAUUCAGGAACAGAUUCACAGUGCAUUGGAGACUGACGCGGCGGCACAGACUCCCUCAUCGGAGACUGACGUGGAGGCACGGAAUCACGCAUGGAAGACUGGCGAAACGCCGUAAUGGAUUCCGAGAUCGGAGACUGGCGAGCCGCAGCAACAAACUCAGACAUCGGAGACCGUCGAGAUGCCGCCGCAUUCGAAUCAUGAAUCGUAGACCGGCGAGACGCCACAACAGAAUCACUCAUUGGAGAUCGGCGAGACGCCACAAAAGAAUCACGCAUCGGAGACCGGUGAUUUGCCACAACCAAAUCACGCAUCGGAGAGGAUGACUCGCGCAUGGGAGACUGACGAAACCCCGGAAUAGGUUCCCGCAUGGGAGACUGGCGUGCAACAGAAUCACGCAUAGGAGACUGACGCGCCGCCGCCGCCAUGGAUUCACGCAUUGGAGAGUGACGCUGCGGCGAGGGGGAAGAUGAAUCUGAAGAAAGCUUAUUGGAUCGGCGGCGUUGGUGAUUGUUUGAAUGCUGAUUCUUCUUCCAUUUCAAAUAUGGCAAAUCAAAGUUGUGAAGUGGGUUAUUAGACUUUGCUGGAACUGUAGAAGUCAUAGUACAAACAAGAAUAUCCAAAUCUUUUCUUCAAAUCAAACAGAAGAGAAUAAUAAAUAAGCAAGUAUAUCAAGUCCAAAAAAUUCUCAUUGUGACUGAA